rnacentral:rRNA from 1 species
AGUUCGAGCGGUAGAGAGAAGCUUGCUUCUCUUGAGAGCGGCGGACGGGUGAGUAAUGCCUAGGAAUCUGCCUAGUGGUGGGGGAUAACGUUCGGAAACGGACGCUAAUACCGCAUACGUCCUACGGGAGAAAGCGGGGGAUCUUCGGACCUCGCGCCAUUAGAUGAGCCUAGGUCGGAUUAGCUAGUUGGUGAGGUAAUGGCUCACCAAGGCGACGAUCCGUAACUGGUCUGAGAGGAUGAUCAGUCACACUGGAACUGAGACACGGUCCAGACUCCUACGGGAGGCAGCAGUGGGGAAUAUUGGACAAUGGGCGAAAGCCUGACCCAGCCAUGCCGCGUGUGUGAAGAAGGUCUUCGGAUUGUAAAGCACUUUAAGUUGGGAGGAAGGGCAGUAACCUAAUACGUUAUUGUUUUGACGUUACCGACAGAAUAAGCACCGGCUAACUUCGUGCCAGCAGCCGCGGUAAUACGAAGGGUGCAAGCGUUAAUCGGAAUUACUGGGCGUAAAGCGCGCGUAGGUGGUUCAGUAAGUUGGAAGUGAAAUCCCCGGGCUCAACCUGGGAACUGCUUUCAAAACUGCUGAGCUAGAGUACGGUAGAGGGUGGUGGAAUUUCCUGUGUAGCGGUGAAAUGCGUAGAUAUAGGAAGGAACACCAGUGGCGAAGGCGACCACCUGGACUGAUACUGACACUGAGGUGCGAAAGCGUGGGGAGCAAACAGGAUUAGAUACCCUGGUAGUCCACGCCGUAAACGAUGUCAACUAGCCGUUGGGAGUCUUGAACUCUUAGUGGCGCAGCUAACGCAUUAAGUUGACCGCCUGG